UAGGGGCCGGUGGGCUGACGGUACUGAGCGGGCUAGCGAAAGCCGCGGCCGGGCUGAGGUUGGCGGCGCUGAGGGAAACUCGGGCCCUGCCCUGAGGGGUCCCGAGACCUUUAGGGGCUGAGGAGGGAGCCGCUUCAGCAGCCGGCAAUUCCGGGUCGGCGCGUGGGGUGCGGCGAACAAGCGCGGAAUCCCCAGUGUUCUGACCUAGGGGAGGGCGCGGGGGAGCCCCGAGGCUGGGAGGGGCGGGCCCUCUGUCCUGAUCCUCCGCUAGGCUGCCCCGCGCGACCGUCUGGAUGCGCGAGUCAGGAAGCCCCUCUGCGCUUCCCAGAGUCCGUUUCCGAGAAGGUACUGAAGGACCUCGGCUUGCCGCUUCAUCUUUUUUUUUCUUUUUCUUUUUUUAGACGGAUUGGCGGGGAGAGGACGUAUAGAUACGUAACAUCUGUGUUUGGUAGUCAAAUACCUGCAUACCUAUCUGUGGUUAACCCUUACCCCCAAGGUUAAACUCUGCUUCAGGGCCUCAUCGUGUGUGCUAUCCGUUACCUCUGCUUCCAGCAUCUCAAGGGAGAUUCGGUCCUUUGUUUCCUUUCUGCGUAUGGCUUUCAGGGGCCCAUGUGACCAGUCCCCUUGGGUGAGUGCCCACGAGCAGGAUCCCUGGGUCAGAGGCUUCAUGUGUUCUUCAUUUGAUUGACACAGCCAGAUGGCCAUCCGGGACGGCUGUACCAGCUGACACACCCACCAGCGUCCUCGUGAGUGUCUGCCAUGUCCCUAGAGAAUGUGCUUCUGCAACGUGGGGGCUGAACCGAGAGAGAGAAUGACACGGGAUCCAGGAAGCAAGGAUUCUAACCCAGGAUUGUGAGGAAAGAAAUUCCCAGGAUGUGUGGCAGGUUGGAGCAAGACGAUGUGAGGCUGUGGGAAGGAGGCUUCCAGGAAAUUAAUAGUUGAGCCACUGCAUUUAAGUGGUUUGAAAAUAUUAUAUUGAUAGGUAUUUGAAGAACCUGUUGGAGACUUUUGGGGGGAAAUUGGGGGGAAAAAAAAGACAGUGCAAAUGUAAAUACAAGGCAAUCAUUAGUGGAAUAACUCAAAGUUAUCAAAGACAGGAAGGAGGCAGGAACUUCCCUGGUGGUCCAGUGGUUAAGACUCUGUGCUUCCACUGCAGGGGCUGCUGGUUCAAUCCCUGGUCAGGGACCUAAGCUGACCUAACCUGACCAGGUUGGC